rnacentral:rRNA from 1 species
CAGUAGCCGCGGUAAUACGAAGGGUGCAAGCGUUACUCGGAAUUACUGGGCGUAAAGCGUGCGUGGGUGGUGGUUUAAGUCCGUUGUGAAAGCCCUGGGCUCAACCUGGGAAUUGCAGUGGAUACUGGGUCACUAGAGUGUGGUAGAGGAUAGUGGAAUUUCCUGUGUAGCAGUGAAAUGCGUAGAGAUCGGAAGGAACAUCUGUGGCGAAGGCGACUAUCUGGGCCAACACUGACACUGAGGCACGAAAGCGUGGGGAGCAAACAGGAUUAGAUACCCCUGUAGUCCCUGUCUCUUAUAC